AGUGGCGAACGGGUGAGUAACACGUGAGUAACCUGCCCACAACUUUGGGAUAACGCUAGGAAACUGGUGCUAAUACUGGAUAUGUGCUCCCGCUGCAUGGUGGGGGUUGGAAAGCUCCGGCGGUUGUGGAUGGACUCGCGGCCUAUCAGCUUAUUGGUGGGGUAGUGGCCUACCAAGGCGGCGACGGGUAGCCGGCCUGAGAGGGUGACCGGCCACAUUGGGACUGAGAUACGGCCCAG
rnacentral:rRNA from 1 species